GUGGGGAAUAUUGCACAAUGGGCGCAAGCCUGAUGCAGCCAUGCCGCGUGUGUGAAGAAGGCCUUCGGGUUGUAAAGCACUUUCAGCGGGGAGGAAGGCGUUAAGGUUAAUAACCUUGGCGAUUGACGUUACCCGCAGAAGAAGCACCGGCUAACUCCGUGCCAGCAGCCGCGGUAAUACGGAGGGUGCAAGCGUUAAUCGGAAUUACUUGGCGUAAAGCGCACGCAGGCGGUCUGUCAAGUCGGAUGUGAAAUCCGCGGGCUCAACCUGGGAACUGCAUUCGAAACUGGCAGGGUAGAGUCUUGUAGAGGGGGGUAGAAUUCCAGGUGUAGCGGUGAAAUGCGUAGAGAUCUGGAGGAAUACCGGUGGCGAAGGCGGCCCCCUGGACAAAGACUGACGCUCAGGUGCGAAAGCGUGGGGAGCAAACAGGAUUAGAAACCCUAGUAGUCC
rnacentral:rRNA from 1 species